rnacentral:rRNA from 1 species
CAGCUCUCCGAGUGGUAGGGAUGAUUAUUGGGCUUAAAGCGUCCGUAGCCUGCUUAGCAAGUCUCCUGUUAAAUUCAGCGACCUAAUCGUUGAGCCGCGGGAGAUACUACUAGGCUAGGAGGCGGGAGAGGUCAACGGUACUUCUGGGGUAGGGGUGAAAUCCUAUAAUCCCGGGAGGACCACCAGUGGCGAAGGCUGUUGACUAGAACGCGCUCGACGGUGAGGGACGAAAGCUAGGGGAGCGAACCGGAUUAGAGACCCGUGUAGUCC